rnacentral:rRNA from 1 species
CGGCCCAGACUCCUACGGGAGGCAGCAGUAGGGAAUUUUCGGCAAUGGGCGCAAGCCUGACCGAGCAACGCCGCGUGAGUGAUUAAGGCCUUCGGGUUGUAAAGCUCUGUUGUAAGGGAAGAACAUUCAGGAUAGGAAAUGAUCUUGAACUGACGGUACCUUACCAGAAAGCCACGGCUAACUACGUGCCAGCAGCCGCGGUAAUACGUAGGUGGCAAGCGUUAUCCGGAAUUAUUGGGCGUAAAGGGUGCGUAGGCGGUUUAUUAAGUCUAUGGUGAAAGUGCGGGGCUCAACCCCGUAUGGCCAUAGAAACUGAUAGACUUGAGUGCAGGAGAGGGCAAUGGAAUUCCAUGUGUAGCGGUAAAAUGCGUAGAUAUAUGGAGGAACACCAGUGGCGAAGGCGGUUGCCCGGCCUGUAACUGACGCUGAGGCACGAAAGCGUGGGGAGCAAAUAGGAUUAGAUACCCUAGUAGUCCACGCUGUAAACGAUGAAUACUAAGUGUUGGAGAAAUUCAGUGCUGCAGUUAACGCAAUAAGUAUUCCGCCUGGGGAGUAUGCACGCAAGUGUGAAACUCAAAGGAAUUGACGGGACCCCGCACAAGCGGUGGAUUAUGUUGUUUAAUUCGACGCAACGCGAAGAACCUUACCAGGCCUUGACAUACUCGGCAAAGCUCUAGAGAUAGAGUGGAGGUUAUCCGGGAUACAGGUGGUGCAUGGUUGUCGUCAGCUCGUGUCGUGAGAUGUUGGGUUAAGUCCCGCAACGAGCGCCACCCUUGUCUUUAGUUACCAUCAUUCAGUUGGGGACUCUAGAGAGACUGCCGGUGAUAAACCGGAGGAAGGUGGGGAUGACGUCAAAUCAUCAUGCCCCUUAUGGCCUGGGCUACAAACGUAAUACAAUGGCGUAUACAAAGGGAUGCGAAAGGGUGACCUGGAGCAAAACUCACAAAGUACGUCUCAGUUCAGAUUGGAGUCUGCAACUCGACUCC